rnacentral:rRNA from 1 species
UUUGGAGGGCAAGUCUGGUGCCAGCAGCCGCGGUAAUUCCAGCUCCAAUAGCGUAUAUUAAAGUUGUUGCAGUUAAAAAGCUCGUAGUUGAAUUUCGGGAUCAAUAUUUCGGUCAUGCCGUUGGUAUGCACUGUUAUCAUUGAUUUCUCACCUUCUAAAGAACCGUAAUGCCCAUUAAUUUGGUGUUACGGGGAAUUAGGACUGUUACCUUGAACAAAUUAGAGUGUUAAUAGCUGGUCCCGG